UACGAAGGGUGCAAGCGUUGUUCGGAAUCAUUGGGCGUAAAGCGCGCGCAGGCGGAUUGAUAAGUCAGGUGUGAAAUCUCGGGGCUCAACCUCGAAACUGCGCCUGAAACUAUUAGUCUAGAAUGUCGGAGGGGGCAGGGGAAUUUCACGUGUAGGGGUAAAAUCCGUAGAGAUGUGAAGGAACACCGGAGGCGAAGGCGCCUGCCUGGACGACUAUUGACGCUGAGGCGCGAAAGCGUGGGGAGCAAACAGGAUUAGAAACCCCCGUAGUCC
rnacentral:rRNA from 1 species